GGACCAAGGGCGAGGGCUUAGAUCUAUGUACUCUUUAGGGUUGUCUGAUUCUACUAUGGCUGCUGCUCAAGAAAUGUAAACUGAUAUUUCAUUUUAUACAUCUACUGAUGGAGUUAUGAACUACUUUCAAACAGGUGUUAUAGCAAAGGGACGAGGGCUUAUAUCUGUGUGUUCUUCGGGAAAGUUCGAAAAUAAGUUGGGAUCAUCCUUCCAUAAGAGUACUCUUUAUGAUAGUCAAAGUGUGCCCAAAACUUCUAACAAUAUACAAGAUCAGAUUUUACAACGUCUGUUGCUCAAAAAAUGCGAACAACGAUUAAAAUCCCCUCGAUUUUUGAGAAAGGGCAUAUGCAAAAUGAUGUUCCUUUUUCUCCAUCUACUGGUGAUAUAGGGAUGGGACGAGGAUGAGGGCAAGGGCUUGGAUCAUUCUCUUUAGAAGUUUCUGGAAAUAAGGUGGGAUCCUUUCAUCACAAUGCUCUUUACGCUAGUCAAGGUAUGCCAAGAACUUCCAAUUGUACAAGAUCAGAUUCUACAAUGUUGGUUGCUCAAGAAAUGAGAACAACAAAUAAAAAUCCCUCGGUUCAUGAGAAAAAGCAUGCGCAAAGUAAUAUUGCAUUUUCUCCAUCUCCUGAUCAAGUUAUGGAAUUCACCCAAAUAGUUGAACCAAAUAUGUUCUAAAAUCUAUUUGGUCAUAAGUUUA